ensembl:lncRNA
AGGAAAUGUAGAAAGGGUGCAGUUUGUGAGUAGAUUUACUUCAUUUUAGAUUUUUUUUUUUUUGCAUUUAAAUUUACUUUUCAAAUGUAAUAUUAUUAAAGUUGUAAUUAAUCUGGUGUGAGUGUCACAAAGACUGUCAACAUACAAUUUAGCACUGAGGCACGGUAGGGUAAUACCUGGGACAGGUGGCAUUGUUCCCGGACAUUAAUGACAAACGCUGCUGCACGUCUGGAGAUGGCGUUGCGGUAAAAAGAACAUCUCAGCUGAGGAGCCGCUGGUCUCAGCAACCAACAGGCCCCAGGUCAGUCCUUUGACCAUCCCUAGUGCCCGUCUGUAGCCUCCACCAGCGAACUCCAGAACAAUGGUUCCUACAGGUAUUUAUAGCAAUGCUUAAAGGUGUGAAAGUCAGUGUCCACACCUCUGGGAGUGGUCUUCUGGUGAGUUCAAUGUAACUCGGAUUUCGAAUGAUCCUUGGUCAAUAUCAGUUGUUGUGCAAGUAUUACAUGCAUGCAUUCCAGUUGAUUACAUUACAUCAAAUACAAUCAUAACUACAUUGGUAUUAUUCUAGUACAGCUGCAGAUUUACAGUAGUUUUACAAUAUUGUCAUUACUUUAUGGAUUACAGUUUCAGAAUCAUGGCUGUAUUCUGGUGUACACUAUAUGCAUUUUUAUUAAUUUUAUGAACCGGGUCGUAUAUUUGUUUCUAAUAUCCUACAGUGGCACAGUCAGAAAAAAUUGGUAGAUCAAAAUGUUCUCUUCCAACCCUAGAUGGCUCAGAUGUAGCUGCUGUCAUCCCUCUGGUGGGUGGGUGCCCAGUUGCAAGAUACAGAGCAUGUGUGCAUCUGAUAUGGUAGUAGAAGGAGUUGUAUACUCUGUAUUCUUCGGUACAUCCAUCAAUUCCGCAUAUAACACGGAAAUCGGGGUUUCGACUAUGUGCUGUGUUGAUAUGGCUCAAGAGAGACUUUAAUGUUAAGGCAACAAAAACGAAGCAAAUAACACACCUCCAGCAAGCCAUUAUGUUAAAAGUUGCUAGCUAGCUAGCUAGCUAAUGAAAGCUGACAGUUAGUGUAGUUUUUUAUGAAACUGAAACAUUAACGACAAAAUCAAGAAUUGCUAAGACAGCAAGGGCAAAAAAUAACUAUACUUGCAAACUACACGUAGCACAAAGAGCGUGAUGUUUAAUCCACAAUUGCAGACAGCAAACGAGGAAAUUGUUGAUUCAUGUCGGCUUUGACGGGCACGAGCAGCCUUGCGCAUUUGGUUGGUCGAUACCAAAAGACAAGUUGGGGGGGGGUCAUUCUAUGACACCGUGUAAUUUACAUAUACACUUACGCAAUUCCGGGAUGAAAAGGCGGAUUUGAAUGACAUAUGUUUGAUUGUCAUUUUGUCAUAUUUCCAUUUAAACAGAUAAAGAUAAAAAGAUAAAGACAAAACUAUGAAGCAUGUAAGUGAUUUAAAUUUGUGGUAAAUAUGUUUGUUUAUUUAUUUUGUCUGCCGUGGUUUAUCUGUAACAUAAAAAGAAGGCAUCUAAUUAUAACCAAACCUUUUGUUUUUACCACAGAUGAGCAUUUACAACAAUCUUCACAAGAGGCUGCAGAAUGUGAAGUCCCCACAAAAGAGGCAGGGGCCCACUCCAGAGAGGGGCCAUUCAAAGAAAAGGAGUCUCAUUGACUUCUCAUCGAGUGACAGAGAAGAAAAUGAUGCAGACCCAAGUGGUGCAUCAACAAUUAUUUUGCAUCAAACAUCUGGGAGCAGUUCUGAUGAUGGCAACAGGUCACGUAAGUUGGAAUUGUGUAGCAUGAAGACUAAGAAUUGUCUAUCAGAAUACAG